GACGGAAGGUGCAAGCGUUGCUCGGAAUCACUGGGCGUAAAGGGUGCGUAGGCGGCUUGGUAAGUCUGGUGUGAAAGCCCCGGGCUCAGCCCGGGAAGGGCGCUAGAAACUGCCGAGCUGGAGUGCCGGAGGGGAGAGUGGAAUUCCUGGUGUAGCGGUGAAAUGCGUAGAGAUCAGGAGGAAUACCGGUGGCGAAAGCGACUCUCUGGACGGUAACUGACGCUGAGGCACGAAAGCGUGGGGAGCAAACAGGAUUAGAAACCCGUGUAGUCC
rnacentral:rRNA from 1 species